rnacentral:rRNA from 1 species
ACCCUUGUCUUUUGCGUACCUACGUUUCCUCAGCGGGUCCGCGUGGACAAUUAAACCUUGAUAAUCAGGUCAAUUAAUAAUUACAACUUUCAACAACGGAUCUCUUGGUUCUGGCAUCGAUGAAGAACGCAGCGAAAUGCGAUAAGUAGUGUGAAUUGCAGAAUUCAGUGAAUCAUCGAAUCUUUGAACGCACAUUGCGCCCCUUGGUAUUCCAUGGGGCAUGCCUGUUCGAGCGUCAUUUGUACCCUCAAGCUCUGCUUGGUGUUGGGUGUUUGUCUCUUCGACUCACCUCAAAGCAAUUGGCAGCCGGUUUGUGAGCGCAGACAUCUGCCUAACACACAGUAUUACUUGACCUCGGAUCAGGUAGGGAUACCCGCUGAACUUAAGCAUAUCAAUAAGCGGAGGA